rnacentral:rRNA from 1 species
GAUGAACGCUGGCGGCGUGCCUAAUACAUGCAAGUCGAGCGAACAGACGAGGAGCUUGCUCCUCUGACGUUAGCGGCGGACGGGUGAGUAACACGUGGAUAACCUACCUAUAAGACUGGGAUAACUUCGGGAAACCGGAGCUAAUACCGGAUAAUAUAUUGAACCGCAUGGUUCAAUAGUGAAAGACGGUUUUGCUGUCACUUAUAGAUGGAUCCGCGCCGCAUUAGCUAGUUGGUAGGGUAACGGCUUACCAAGGCAACGAUGCGUAGCCGACCUGAGAGGGGGGAGGGCAAAAGGGGAGGGGAAACACGGCCCAGGCCCCGACGGGGGGCCAGAACGGGGAAGUUUACGCAAUGGGGGAAAGCUUGAGGGAAGAACGCCGAGUGGGUGAAGAAGGUUUUCGGGACGGAAAACUUUUUUAUUAGGGAAAAACAAAUUGGUAAGUAAAUAUGAGCAUCUUGAAGGUACCUAAACAGAAAGCCAGGGCAACUUACUU